AGUGCGGAGGAGGCGCGGCAGGGGCCGGGGCUGUUGUUGCAGGGCGGCCCAGACAGGACGCCCUGUCUCCUUUCUCUCCUACAACCGCUUUUUAAAAGUCUGUUUCUGUUUUUAGCAGCGGCUGCCGGCCUCGGCGUCCUCCACCUACGGGGAUGACCUGGCUUCUGUGGCCCCGGGGCCUUUACAGCAGGACGUGAAGCUGAAUGGAGCCGGCCUUGAGGUGGUGGACUCAGACCCUGAGCCUGAAGGGGAGGCGGAGGACAGGUAACAGCUGGGCCCACCCCAGAGAUCAGAGACAUAGGCUCAAUAUCUCCCCACCUCCCUCCCCUACCAACCUCCCCCGACGACCUGCCCCGACCCCUCCGCCCGGCCCCGACCCCCCACUGGCAGUGGGAGUGACUCAGGGUCAGAGGCUCAGAGUUCCCGGGCACAAAGUGGGACAUUCAUCUUCCCUCCACCCAGGUCCACGCAACACCCACCAGCGAACAGCUU
rnacentral:sRNA from 1 species